ACAACCAAACCAAGUCAAUGGAAGGGAAGAAAAAAAGAGCUUUGCCCAGAUCUCCCGAAUAACCCCAACUCUCCAUAAACCAUAAUCAUUCAUAAAACCCCACAUACAAAUUAAGUUCCCAACCUUCCACCACAAUUAUUUAUACAAGCAGACAAAUUCAAAUACUAAAUUUUUACCCAACUGUCUAAAUAAAAAACUAGGUUGUUGGCAAAGCCCUCCAUCUGUAAACAAAUCCAGAAACAAUAAAUAAAUAAAAAAUGAAAGAACCCCAUUC
rnacentral:lncRNA from 1 species